rnacentral:tmRNA from 1 species
AAAAUAUUGGUUCAUAUAUAUGGAAUAUAUUUGUAUUAGUUUCUAUAUGGUGCAAAUGAAUAAUUAAUAGAAUAGUAUGUAUUAGUUUGUUAGAUACUUUUGUACAUAUGAAAUUAUAUUUCUAACUAAACCUGUAGACGCUAUUUAAAAGAGUAUUUUGGACAGCGGUUCGACUCCGCUCGGGUCCACCA